ACCCGCUGAAUUUAAGCAUAUAAGUAAGCGGAGGAAAAGAAACUAAAUAGGAUUCCCUCAGUAAUGGCGAAUGAACAGGGAUGAGCUCAGUAUGGAAAUUGGGGCCUGUGGCCUUGAAUUGUAAUCUGGAGAUGUACCACCAACUGGGGCGCAGAUGUAAGCCUCUUGGAAAAGAGCAUCAAUGAGGGUGAGAGUCCCGCUUGGCAUCUGCAGUCCCCAGUGCACGGUGUACCUUCUAAGAGUCACGUUCCUCGGGAUUGGAGCGCAAAUCGGGUGGUAAGUUUCAUCUAAAGCUAAAUAUAGUUUCGAGACCGAUAGCAAACAAGUACCAUGAGGGAAAGGUGAAAAGGACUUUGAAAAGAGAGUUAAAAGUGCCUGAAAUUGCUGAAAGGGAAGCGAAUGGAACCAGCGUAACUUGGCGAGAUUGCUGCGUGUCAAUGUGAUUGCUUGCUGCUUCAACGUAAGUGUUGUAGUAAGUCUUGAACAGGACAUGCGCGGUGCUUCUUGCCUUGUGUGUCACCGUCAAUUCGCAACUGGGGAAAACUUCAGGGACAUGGUAGCCUGUCUCCGGGUGGGUGAACGUGUUUGCUGGAACUCAUUUGCGGAUUGCUUGGUGACUAAAUGGUUCCAUCUGACCCGUCUUGAAACACGGACCAAGG
rnacentral:rRNA from 1 species